rnacentral:tRNA from 1 species
AGGUACUUAAGUUAAAUAUAAACCAGAAGCCUUCAAAGCUCCAAACAGUGGGCCACACCACUAGCACCUG